GAUUGAUGAAUGUAUAUUAGUUAAAAUGUCCAGUAAGACGCAACAUUCGUGGGUAAAUAAUAAUAAUAAUGUCAGCAAUUUGACAAUCGCUCCACUUCUGUGAAUGCAAUGCAACUUGAGCAUCCAUCCGUUCCAAGUGUCCUUGAGCAAGCAACGCUGUGUCCAUUUAUGUGUAAAUCCAAAUGAGCGCCAUUAGAGGAACUCUUAUUUAAUCAAGCGCUUCCAAAACAACAAAUACGACAACAAGCAUCAUUUUUCGUCAGGCAUGUCACCGAACGGCCUCGGAUAAAGCGCAAGAACCAACGCUAUCUGUGUACAGACUCACCUUACGCAUCCGUAGGCCCUCUCGCUCGCGGCUGUCCUCCAUGUCGCAGAAGUAGAGGCGGGCCACGAAGAUCCUGAGCCGAAGGUUGGGCAUCCGCCUGAGGAACUGCGACACAGUGACGGAGCAAUUUGCGCAGGGAGACCAGGAGCAGAACCAAGUGAUGGAGUAGCUGAGCCUCUGGUGUCCCUCCCCACUACCCCAGACUCCAGGGCACAAGGCCCCCAGGUAGCGCAGAAACAGCAGCUACAGGCCCCCAUCACGUACGCCUCAACUACUCACCUCUACAUGGCAGCCAUUUCGAUUACGAAGGUGUCCAAAGUCAAAGGUCAUGGAGUCUGGCCCCACUCGCCUCUUCACAGCAAAGCACAGGGGGGGAACCGAGAACCUAUAUAUCAUCAUAAACAUCCUGCAUUCGACAGAAGCAGCUUCUGGUUGGACAGAAAUAUUUUUUAAAGUUUGAUUUUAG